rnacentral:lncRNA from 1 species
AUAUAUAUAUAUAUAUAUAUAUAUAUAUAUAUAUAGUGAGAGAGAGAAAAAUUAAAUUAGAUUAAAAAAAUUAUGUAUGCCAAUAGAACAUGUUAGAUAAAAGAUUUGAUGAUAUUAUCACAAACGUUGAAUAAGAAUUUUGAUGAGUAAAGGUUGAGCACAAGAAUUAAAAAAGCUAAUCAAGUUCUGAUUUUUAAAUAAGAAUUAAAUUAGCUAUACAUACUUAAUAAUUAUAUUUAAAUUUAUAAAUAUAAAUAAAUUGAGCAUAGGCAAAUUGAGAUAUAUGGAACAACAAAUUUAAUUCCAAUAAUAUUUCUAGUAAUCAAAGUUGCAACGAAUGAUUCAUAAAGUUACAUAUGAAACGGUAGUACUCACAACAGCUUCUAUGUCGUAUUCUAUGAAACGACAGCCUUAUUAUCGUUACUAUCAGCUAUCGAAGAAUUUGAGCGUGGAGUAGUGGUUGAUGAGCUACGAUGUAAACGACAACGGAAAGAACCUUCAUGUGUCGUUGGAGAACACAAACACUGAGCUUUUUGCAAAGAUGUUUGAACACUACCCCUUUCACUUGUUGGUGAUGUUGAAAUUGUGAGUUUACUUCGAGAUUCAUAUCUAGAUGCCAUGAUGAUGAUGAGGAGGAGGACACGAUUUGAAUUUUGAAGCUCCAAUUUGAUUACGGAAAAUCAAGAAUCUUUCUCUAUAUAUAGAGAGGGGUUAACAUCAAUUGACACCUAUUAGUAUAAUUUUUUUUUUUUAAAUUUAAA